UAGCGGCAGGCUUAACACAUGCAAGUCGAGGGGUAGAAGCAGCUUGCUGCUUUGAGACCGGCGCACGGGUGCGUAACGCGUAUGCAAUCUACCUUUUACAGAGGGAUAGCCCAGAGAAAUUUGGAUUAAUACCUCAUAGUAUGUGAGAAUCGCAUGGUUUUCACAUUAAAGUUCCAACGGUAAAAGAUGAGCAUGCGUCCCAUUAGCUAGAUGGUAAGGUAACGGCUUACCAUGGCGACGAUGGGUAGGGGUCCUGAGAGGGAGAUCCCCCACACUGGUACUGAGACACGGACCAGACUCCCUACGGGAGGCAGCAGUGAGGAAUAUUGGACAAUGGGCGCAAGCCUGAUCCAGCCAUGCCGCGUGCAGGAUGACGGUCCUAUGGAUUGUAAACUGCUUUUGUACAGGAAGAAACACUCCCUCGUGAGGGAGCUUGACGGUACUGUAAGAAUAAGGAUCGGCUAACUCCGUG
rnacentral:rRNA from 1 species